GGGAGGAGACAGGGCGAAUCUCUGCCCCACAAGACUGGGGAGACAGACAGGCAACUGCAGACAGUCCCAUUGGUAUGGGAAGCCUUCUCGUGCCAUCGUGUUUGUGGUCACAGCUCUCUUUUAUUUCCUCUUAUGUGUUCAUGUGAAAGCACUAUGACAUUCAGAGUCCUAGAUUGUUUGCAUGUUCUUCCAUUCAUUAAUUCAUUCAUUAAGCAACAUUAAUUAAGUUCCCACUAUGUGUCAGAUGUUGUUCUAAUUCUUAUGGGGAUAAAAAGAUGUAUAAGCCACAAACACUUUUUCAGUCAAACAUUCAACAAUUUUUGAACACCUACUAUGUACCAUGCACUGUGCUAGGUGGUAAGGAUUCAACAAUAAAGGGAGUAGCCCAUUUUAAAGACAAUACAACAAUAAUAAUAAUAAAUAAAAACAAUAUAAUGGCCACAACCACAAAAUCUGGACCCCACUGGCUUCAACAUCUUUUUACUGAGGUCUUCCGGGCACGCCUUCUUGAGCAGCCUUUUUCAGUCACUCUCUCCCCGUCUUCUCAUCUGCUCCUCAACACACUCCAACACGAUUCUUUACUCAACUCUUCACGGGAAUAGCUCUAAGUUCCUUAUGGAUUAGAUGUUGCCGAAACCAAAGGUCAAGUCUUUCCUUCCUUGCAUUUGAUGCCUCAGCAAUAUCCAACACCGCUGACCACACUUUCCUUCAUUUUUCCUUUUAUCCUUACCCGAGGACAUGCUUACUGAGGUUUAGAGACUGGGAAAGGGAGGGAAGGAGAGAGGAAGAAAAACAUCAAUGUGAGCAAGAAAUAUCGAUCGGUCACCCUGACUGGGAACCAAACCUAUGGCCUUUUGUUUUACCAGAGGACGCUCCAACCAGGGGAGUCACACUGGCCAGGGGCACACUUCUCUUCUUGAAAGGUUUUCUCCACCGACUCUCACACGCCGUCCUCUCCUGACCUUCCUCCUGCCUCGCACCCGCCUCCGCUCAACCUCCAACUGUUGUGUUUGUCCUAGAAUUUAGUCCUGAGCCAUUUCCCUUCAUUCAUGAAUAUUUUCUCCCUGUAGUAUUUUAUCUAAUCUUGUGGCUUCAAAAAUUACCACGUGCUUCCAUUUCCCAAAUUUAACACACUAGGACUGUGGCAUGAGGACCAUAAUUAUCCUAAAGUGACCCAGGAGUUUAACAAGGUAGCCAAGAAGAGGGAUCCCCUCUUCCCAGUAUGAGGGACUGUGCCCAGAAUAGCUCCCUGGGGGCUCCUAG